AAGGAAGAAAUAGAGAAAUGCAGACUUCAAGAAGAAUUGCUUUUAAAGGAAGGUGAGGACUUGAAAAGGCAGAAAGAGAAAUUUGAAAGAGAAUGGGAAGAGUUAGAUGGGAAAAAGUUAGAAAUUGAGAAAGAGUUGAAGAAUAUCAACCUACAGAAGGAGAAAUUUGAAAAAGAAAAACUUGCUGAGGAUGAAAGGUUAAAGAAUGAGAAGCAAGUCGCUGAGGAUUGUAUAAAAAGAGAGUUGGAAGCUCUUGAAGUUGCUAAAGAAACAUUUGCUGCCACCAUGGAACAUGAGCGGUCAGUGGUAGCUGAGAAAGCUGAAAGUGAGAGAAGCCAAAGGCUUCAUGACCUUGAGUUGUUGAAAAGUAAACUUGAGAGUGAUAUGCAGGAUAAAUUUGAGGAGAUGGUGAAGGAAUUUGGAGAGAGAAAAAAGUCCUUUGAGGAGGAAAAAGAGAGAGAACUGGACAAUAUUAAUUAUUUAAGAGAGGUAGCUAGGAGAGAGAUGGAAGAGCUGAAACAAGAAAGACUUAAGAUAGAAAAAGAAAGGCAAGAAGUUAAUGCUAGCAAGAGUCAUCUUGAAGGACAGCAAAUUGAAAUACGAAAAGACAUUGAUGACCUUGUGGAUCUCAGCAAGAAGUUGAAGGACCAACGAGAGCAAUUGAUCAAGGAGAGGAACCGCUUUAUUUCAUUUCUUGAGAAACAAAAGAGUUGCAAGAAUUGUGGUGAGAUUACCUCUGAGUUUCUACUCUCUGAUCUAAAAUACCUACAGGAAAUAGAGAAUGAGGGAGUCCCUCUGCUUCCAAGUUUGGCAGAUAACUAUACCAGCGGAAAUAUUUUUGGGAAUUUUGUUGCAUCUGAGAGGCAGAUGAUGUCUGCAUCUGUUGCUUCAGGAUCUCCAAUUUCUGCUGGAACUAUGUCAUGGCUUCGUAAAUGCACCUCAAAAAUAUUUAAAUUCUCUCCUGCGAAAAACAUUGAGCCUCAUGCUUUAAAAAAAUUGAACGUGGGGCCCUCACUCUCUAGUCAACAAGUUAAUAUGAAAGGCAUGUCAACAACUGAAAAUGAGCCAGAGCUCACUUCUGUUGCGGCAACUGAAUCUUUGGAGAUUCAUAGGUUCCAGUCAGACACCAGCACAAGAGAUGUUGAGGCUGGUCAGGACUUGUCAGUUGAUAAUCAGAACAACAUGGAUUGUAAGGAACUGGAAGCGUUGGAAGAUUCUCAGAAUUGUGAUCUGAAUCAUGGAAAGCAGGUUCACAGGAGAAGCAGGCCUAGAGCUAAAGUAAGAUGCUCUGCGAAGGCAGUUGUCAAUGAUGCUGAGGCUAUUCUUGGGAAAGCUUUAGAACCAAAUGAACUUGAGCAUCCAAAUGGUAGUGUUGAUUCUGUUCAUGCCAAUGCUUUAAGCAGGGGUGAAUCUGGUCUUGCUGAUGGAGGCACAUCUAGAAAUGAACGGAAGCGGAACCAUGCUCAAACAUCCCAAAUAUCAGACAGUAAGCAAGAUGUUAGUGAAGGACAUUCUGAUAGUAUUGCAGCAGGCCAGAGAAGAAAGAGGCAUCAAAAAGUUGUCUCGGCUAUAUCUACUGGUCAGAAAAGAUAUAAUCUCCGACGGCCCAAAAAGUAAGUUACUGUUGAGAUGGUAGAUUUUUCAUCUCUUGCUUUAUGUGUGUAUGAAUAUUCAUUGUGGUUAUACAGCUUGAUGGUUGAUUUGUAAUUAAGCUGAAGAACCACUACUUGUUGAUUUGUCUUAUCUGCUGUUAAUCUAAGUUUAGCAUAAUUUCAAUUAAUCAUUUAUAGAAUUGCCGGUCCACUUAAUUAGAGAUGGACUAGCACUUAGUGAAAUCAAUAAUUCUGCAGUGACCGUAAAAUAACUAUAUGGUAGGUUGCUGAAUCAUUUUAUUUCAAAUGUAUUGUUUGUAAUAAGUUGGAUUAGAUUACAAUUUAAUUUACUAUGUGAAACCUGUGGAUGAUGUUAUUUUGUUGGACAAGGACAACCCAGUAUAAAAUAUUUCAGCAGAAGCAAUUUUGAUGCAACUAACAUGCGGAAUAUGCUUUGAUGUAGUGGGGUCACAGUUGCUAAAACCACAUCUGACAUGAAUAGAGAAACUGAAGGUGCUAAAGAUGCAGUGGAUCAAGUUAACUACUCUCCAAUGCCUGCAAGUGAAACUGGAGAUGCAAGUGAGAAUAGUGGUGCACACUUUCUGCAGCAGGUAAGGGGCCUUGAAAUUUUAAUUUUUUGUACUGUGGCAUGUGCAUGUUUGAUGCAGAUGGUUACGUGCAUGUCAAUGAUCUCUGCUACAAAUUUACGUCAGUUGUCACUUGACAGAAUGCUUUGACUCGUUAGUUGAGUAAAUUAUCUAUGCAUGGCAUGGUCUUCGUUGGUUUUCUGUUUUCUGAAAAGUCGAUGAGAUGAUUUCAUGAUAUCAUCAUAAAUAUGAAUGAGCUACGAGGCUCAUGUUCUAAAGCUGAACUUCACCAUUUCAGAUUUUGAUGAUUUAUAAAACUCGUCUUAAUGAUUUUCACCAUGUUUAAGUAAUCUUGUUUUAUAUAUCUUUUAUGUUGCAGGGUGAGACAGGUCCAGACACCAAAGAUGGUAAUGCUGGUGCAACCAAAACAUUUGAUGCCAAUAUGGCAUUAAGUGAGGAGGUGAAUGGCACACCUCAAGUGGUUGGUGAGUACGGUGAUGGAAAUGACUACCAGAGUGAAUCACACAGCGAAGGGCAUAAAGAUGAGGAUGAGGACGAGACUGAAGGGGAGGAGAAUAAUUUAGAGCACCCUGGUGAAGUAUCGAUAGGAAAGAAGCUGUGGAGUUUUCUGACCACAUAAUGAUGCAAAUCAUAUAUUGUAAUUUGCCAAAUUCCGAGCCCAGUUGUGCAGAUUUCCUCGUAGGAACAGCUAGUGUGUAUUAAAAUAUAAAUGUAAUUAUUCGCCAGAAAUUAAUUCAGGUGGUGGUUUGGGGGGGGGGGGUAGGGUUUUCCUUUUGAUUCUUUUGCAAGACGGUCCUAGAUUGGAUAGAUAGAUACAUGAUUUAUUUGUUGUAGAAAUGAGUGGUGGACUGUACGGCUUCCACGACCAAAUUGUUUGAAUCGGAUAGUACUUGUGUAUUUCUAAACUUUUCUGGAAUUAUUGUUUGACUUUUGUCGUCCGUAAAUGCCCAACCGUUUUACCCGUCCAGAAGAGUCAAACUGAAGCUCGAAUUUUUUAUUUUAAUAUUUGAUUUCAAGUAAAUUUCUCAUAAGAUGUUCUUCUUGAUCAUGUCGCCCCCAAGGCAAGGCUAGAACGUGCUUUUAACAUCACUUCUGAAAAGUAAGAUCACAUUAUUUAUUUAAUCUUGUUAGAGCACUAAUUAUUUUAUUUAUAUUUUUAUUUAAGCUCUUGAGUUGGCAUUGAUUCGGGGUACUAAUUUAGACAGAAAAAUUAUAGAAAUAUUCUUUUAUAAUUAAAAUAAAGUAUAUUAUUUAAAAAUAUUUUAAUUUUUUUAUUUAAAAAAAUUAAUAAAAAUAUUUAUGUAGUUGAAUUUGAAUUUUUAUGUAUUUUAAUUUUAUUAUACAUAAUUUAUAUGUUUUAAAAUUUUGAACUCAUAAUUUUAACAAGACUAUAAUGCGUUUCAAUACAACCGACAUCAAUACUCGAGUCAACCGAUAAAAAUAAUAUAUGAUUUUUAGUUUUAUUAGUAUACAAAUGUCCUCUUUCAAGUUUAUCUUAUUUAUUUCCUUCGAUUCACUCUCAAUAAUUUGGAGGAAAAACAACAAAAUGAUAACAAUAAAACAACUACCGCUUUGGCGCCAGUGAGCCUCCGCCACUUGCAAGUGGCAACCACAACACUCCCAAAUCAGCCUCGCAAAAAUUUUCCAGAUCCAUUUAAAAGAAAAAUGCCCCCUUUUCUCCCAUAAUUGACCCGACACCACCCUACGAAACACCGCCGAUGUCCGCUCAAUCAGCGGCCACAGCCACCGCCAAUGAGAGAGUCAAAACCUUGACCCUAGACUCCACCCAACUCUACCUCACUGCCCUAAACUCCACCACUUCCACGCUUUCUUUCCCCCCUAUUCCCUCCUCUUUCCCUCCCUCCAAUUUCAUCCCCAACACUCGCUUCCUCAUCGAUUCCUUCCGCCACCCCUUCACAGCCUUCUCCGCCUCUUACUUCCUCUCCCACUUCCACUCCGAUCAGUAUUCCGGCCUCUCUCCUUCCUGGUCAAAAGGCAUCAUCUUUUGUUCCCACCUCACUUCCCUCCUCCUCAUCCAAACCCCGUUUCGUCUUCGCUUUGCCUCUAAACGACCCCGUUUUAGUAGAUGGCUGCGAGGUCAUUCUCAUCGACGCCAAUCAUUGCCCUGGUUCAGUCCAGUUAUUAUUCAAAGUUCCCACUAAAAAUGGGAUCUUUGAAAGGUAUGUUCACACAGGCGAUUUUCGUUACUGCAAUCCGAUGAAGUUGAAUAGUUAUUUGAUUGGAUUUGUUGGAUGUGAUGCCAUUUUUUUAGAUACUACAUACUGUGAUCCGAAAUGUAUACUUCCUUCUCAAGAAGAAUCGAUUGAUUAUGUGGUUAGUGUGGUAGAUAGGAUAGGUAAGGAAUUUGGGAAAAGGAGGGUUUUGUUUCUUAUUGCUACUUAUGUUGCUGGGAAAGAGAAUAUUUUGGUUGAGGUUGCACGGAGAUGUAAGACCAAGAUAUGUGUUGAUGGGAGGAAAAUGGAGAUUUUGCGUGUUCUGGGUUAUGGGGAUGGUGAAGUUUUUACUGAAGAUGAGAGUGAGAGUGAUGUUCACGUUGUUGGUUGGAGUGUAUUAGGUGAAACUUGGCCGUACUUUAGGCCGAAUUUUGUGAUAAUGGAAGAGAUUAUGGUGGAAAAAGGGUAUGAGAAGGUUGUCGGAUUUGUGCCGACUGGGUGGACUUAUGAAGUCAAGCGGAAUAAAUUUGCAGUGCAAACUAAGGAUACAUUUGAGAUACAUCUGGUCCCUUGUAGUGAGCAUUCUAAUUAUGAUGAGCUUAAAGAAUAUGUGAAGUUUUUGAAACCGAAGAAGGUUAUUCCUACAGUUGGUAUGGACUUUGAGAAGCUUGAAAGUAAACAUGCUGAUGAACUGAGAAAGCACUUUGAUGGGCUGAUUGAUGAAAUGGACAAUAAGAAGGACUUGCUGAUGGGUUUUCAUCGUGGCAACUGUGAAACUGUAGAAAAAGUUGAAAGGGAUGCUAAUGAGGAAAGGGUCAUGGAGAGAAAUAAAUAUAAGUUUGAAAUGAAAACAGUUGAGAGUAAUGACAUGGAUGUUUCUUCGAAUGAUGUAUCUUACGUCCAUAAACCUGAUUCACAAGAUUCAACUAUACCAAGCGAGGAGGAAAGAGAGAGAAUCAUUGAGGAAACCAGGGAUUCUUUGCCCAAAUGGGUGACCAGAGACCAGAUAUUAGAUUUGGUUAGCAGCUCAAGAUGGAAUAUUGUUGAAGCAGUUUCUAACUUUUAUGAGCAUGAAAUUGAAUUCUACGAGCAAGUCUCUGUGUUUAGAACCUUUGAAUCUGCAUCCCAUGCCAGUUCACCAAGCAGCCCUAUAUUACUUUCAAAUUCAGGACCUUUUCGAAGUAGCACUGAUGAAAGUGUAAAUACUAAUUUAAGUCAAGUCAGCAAGUCUCCUAGUUUGAAACUUACACGGUGGAGCAACAUAUCUCCUAGCAAGAGGAAGAAAAACACUGAGAAGAGGUCAAAUAAGAAAGUAAAAAGUAAUUCAAAACUGGAAUCUAGCGGGUCAAAACAACCCACAAUAACUAGCUUCUUCAGUAAACUUUUGCCUGAUGACUCUAAAGGUGGCAAGACUGAUCAAAAAAAUUGAAGAAUGCCCUAAAGGUGAAAACAUCUUGCCUAGUAAUUGGACUAAAUCAUACAUAGAGAAAACAAUCAGUUUAUUCAGAUAAUGUAUUGUCAAGAAACUAUGUUGCGUCCUUGCUUGAGAAAACUCAAGGAGAUAUCGACUAGGCACUGGAUAUGUAUUAUAGUAAUCCUGAGUUGAAACAUGGUGAGAAUACAGAGAAUAUGAUGGUCUACAGCAAAUUAGCUUAGGUCCAGAGCUGUACUAAUGAUUGCUUUGUUAGAAAGAGGAAACAUGUACCAGAGGAAUCAAGAUGUAUGGUGUUUUCAUAUUUGCCAGGACAAUUAAUCGAAACGUUGACAGUUGCAUCCUGAUAAUGUAAAUCUAUAGAGCAAGGUUGGUAUCUGGAUGUCGUUUUUCCUAUAUGCUUAAUAUUGUCUUGAAAUUCUUCUACUUCUAGAGUAUUGUAGCAUCUAUUUAGAAGUUAUUUUUUCUUUUUGAAAUACUUGGCAUUUUUCUUUGAGCUAUACUAGUUUUACUGCAUCUUUGGUGUUUCUUUCUUUUAGAAGCCUUUUCAUAGAACUUCUCAGCUUCCUUUGUGAUACUUUAGAACUUUUACUGAGAUGUCUGUGCAGCAUGCUGGAGGCAUGGUCAGCCUGUUCCAUAUGUUCAUCUUGCAUUGGCUUUUGACCUGGUUAGGGGCUCAAAAGGGCAAGACCAAAGCUGCUUCUAUGCUUUGCAAUAUGUUUAGAAAGUUGGUACAGAUUAUAUCCUUAUUAUUACAUCUCUUGUUGGUGAAAUCAAACUUUACACUUGUAACUGAUUGCUAACCCUUUAUCCCUUCAUAUUUUCUUUCAACCAGUUUGCUAGCCUUGCCCCCCGAGGAUGUGCUUCCUGUUGUGUAUCUGUGCACCUACAAAGUUGCUCCUGACUAUGAAAAUAUUAUUACUCCACAAGUUCUAAUUUCCUACAAAGUAAUGGAUUCGUACUCCACAUUUCUGAAAGAUAAGUUUUCACUCAGAUUGUACUAUUGUAGAUCACUUACCAAAAAGGUGACAGAUUCAAGAGAUACAACUGCCAACACAAAAAACAAGGGGCACUCAUGCUGUACUAAUGAUACAGGAAUUAAGUAAUGGUGGAUGCUUGAUUACGUCUGCACAAAAAGAAGCAUGUGGGGGACAAACCGGUGAAAAGUAAGGGACCUGUCCAAUGACAUUGGUGAUCCUGGUAAGAGCAAUUAAUUCCUCUCAUUGUUUUCUGUUUUCUCCUAGUCCUUCCACAAUUUUUUUUGGAGAGCCUUCUGAAUACCAUAUUUUGGUCUAAGGUGUUGCACAAAUGUGACUAUAAACCCAAACUUUACUUGCUCUUUCACCAUACUAUUAUGAGGACUUAUUUUCUGUGCUCUGGAAGAUAAAGUUGUGAAAAACCCAGUAUUGAUCCUCUUGACAACAAAUGAUUAUAAACUGAAACAUUGAUGACUGAUUUGAAUUAUUUAGAAAUAAUUGGUUAAUGCUCGGAUUUGGUGGUGUAAAAAUCAGGAGGAACUUGCUACAAUAUCGGUUUAUUAAUAAGAACUGGUUUCUAGCUUAACAAUUUAGAACCAGAAUGUCAUUACCACUCUGUUGAUGAUAAGCAAAGCGUUCUACCUCCAGUGAUAUCCUCUUGUAUACCAUGAUACGAAACAACACAUUGUUCGAGUAAUUAUUCAUGGGCACUUAAAUGCUGGAUGGAUAUGAUUAUACAAGACUUUGCCAGAGCCUCUAUUUCCCUUUUUUCAAUAGAACGGAUAAAUUUAGACAAACUUUUUAUGUAUCGAUACCCAUUCGUAAUUUGAUACCAUUUUAAAAUCUAUGUUAUGUGUACUCUAUUUGUCUCAUUUUUCUCAUAAAUUAUUUAUUAGUGUUUGCAAGAAAUUCGAGUAUCUUGUGUUUUGUUAAAUCACAAACAUUGCCAUUCUGUUUAUGCAGACUAUAGCCAGUAUUAUUGUUACCAGAUUUGGCAUUAAAGUGGGUUUCAUUAGAGCUUCCAGCCUUGUGUUUGAUUCAGCUCGAUUACAUCCCUGGUCAUGGUCACAUGGUUACCUCCGAAUUAGGUUUUUGAACUAAAUACUGGGUGCAUGCAUUUGAUGCAUAUUAUCUGCCAGAAAAUAAAAAAUGCAAGUAGCAAACACACGUCAUAACUAUGAAUGAAUGAGCUCAACAAGGCUUUCAAACAAUGAAAUCAAAAGAGGACUCGGUAAGUUGCCAAUGCAUUUAAAAGAAAACAAGAAAAAGCAUAUGGAAACCCCAAAAUUACCAUGGGAAUAUGGUUAGUUGGUUGCAUUACAUAACUCUCUUCUGCAAAACUAGAAGGAAACUAUUUCUUACUUUGCUCUCCCGUCUAUUCUUUUAACAGCUUUCAGUUUUCGUCCUUACGCCCCCUUUUGGCUCCAUCUUUUGUAGACUGCUUUUCAUCUCUCAUUCUCUGCAGUUUAUAUUACAAAUUAGCCUAGGUUCUAACUUAAACACUGAAGAAAUACAUGAAAACUAAAACUUUUUACCUUCCUUUUUGAACCCUUACCCCUUCGAUGGCGUCCUCCUUUAUGUUUUGUUUUCUGUUUAUCCUAGUACAAGACAAUGGAGUAAAACUUAUGUUUCUGCAUAUGGAUAUUAAAUUUUCAAUCAAACUGAAAAAAUCAUAUUUCAGCCAAAUCAACCUGUUCAAUAGCGACAACUGGAGAAUGCGAUUCUGCAGCAGUCUCCUGAUUCUCAAUUUCCCCAUCACUGUUAAGCAUAGUCUUCAGUCUACCUUCCUUUAGUAAUUUCUCAGAUCGAGCAUGCCUCUACAACGAUAAAGGAAGUUCUGUUAGAUGCAUAUUGGUUUAUGUGAAACCAAACAAGCAUGAUAUUCCUUUAAUCCGUUCCGGCAAUCAACGGACAAAACUGAUGCCCACAGAACCAUCAAUUUACAUACAAUCACCACAUAUAAAAUGGUGAAAGUGUAUAGUGUCACAUCAGAUUUCUUAUCAUUUCCUCAAUUCAAAGGUCGACAAUGACUAAAUAAAUUUUUUUUUUGGUGAUAGUCUAAACUUUCCAGGAUUGGAUUGAACCAUAUGGUUUCUCAAUCGUUGAUGUGGUGUGGUUAUACAGUAUUUUGCUACAAAGAGAGAACUAGCAAGCCAGAUGCCUUACCUUGGAAUUAAAGUGAGCCCUAACAGUCUCCUCGUUCAAACAGACAAUCCUUGGGCAUAACUUGCACUUAAAAACUGACUUGCAUUUCAGUAUACAGGCUGGGAAAUCAUCUGGCAGCGGUUCUUUGUUGCAUGGGACAUCCCACUUUUUUCCCCGAAUUUGAGCACCAUGUUCAGCAUGUAACCUAUUGGUGAUAAAUAUUUGUUUAUCAUCUUCACUUUCAUCAUUAUCAUCAUCUAUAAGACCUGCAAAACCAGGUCAUAUUAACCACAAAAGUAAAGGGAUCUUUUUUAGAAUAAACAUAACAAUGCAGUUCAAUAUUGCAUAAUGUCUAAAUGAAAUCAUGACAGCAGAAGACAAUUGUUGUAUCAAGGAUUUAGUAAAUGAGAUUGUCAUGUGUUCUUUUCCCAUUUACAGAGAAAGAAUCAAAGUGAACUUAUGACAGAUUUUAAUGGCGUCAAUCAAACUUCAAACAUAUCCAAGUUCCAAAUAUGGACUAGAAAGACAACUAAAAGCUGAGAUUCAUAGCAAAUGUGAGACAUGGUUUAUAUUCUGACAUGAAAUACACAACACUUUUCCCAUUUAUAGACAAAGAGUCAGCUUAUGACGGAUUUUAAUAGUGUCAAUCGAACUUCAGACUAGCCAGAUAUCAGGAACAAGUUCUAAAUAGGAAAAGACAAAUCAAUAUCUACGAUUCUCAGCAAAUUUCAGACACGGCUUCUAAUAUUUGACAUGAACAAUGCAACACUUUUUUUUUUUCUAAACCAUAUGCAUGCAAAACUCAAGAACCCAAGUUUUAUUUCUCAUGCAAAUGACCAAAUUAUGAAGGUUCUCAAUUCAAUCAAGUAAAACUAUACCUGCCGAGUCCACACCAACUUCAUUCCCUGAGCUAUCCUCGCUUUCAUAUCCUAAAAUCAAAACAAACAUACAAAUUGUAAAUCAGUAAAAUUAGUAAUAUUCAUAAAAGGAAGUUGAAAACAGUAUAAACAUCAUCAAUUAAACGCAUACCAGUUUGACAAAUCAAUAUAUAUAACCCAUCACAAAACCCUAAGAAACUAACCGGAAGAAGAGGAGCAAGCUUGAUUGUUUUGAUUUACUUGAGCAGCAACUUCUUGUUCUGGUUCUGAUUCAGAUUCUUCCGAGGCUUCCACUUCAAGUUCAGAGUCCGAAGACGAUGAAGAUGAAUCCGACACAUUAUCUUUGUCCGCAUGUUCAAAUUUAUAAAACCCUCCUCUUUAUCAUUUUUUUUACAAAAUUUCUGGAUAUUGUGAUAACAUAAACAAGGUUAAACGAGAGUGCAUAAAUCUAUAUCAAGGGAUUAAAAUUUUUUCCUAUAAUGAAUCGGCGAAUUCGUAUUUCAAAUAUUCGAACCGUUUUCCAAUUUUUUGGGCUAAAUAUCAAUACUUUUACUGGUAAAUUAGUAAAGCGGGAGAAAUCAAACAAAGGAUUUUCAAUUUACGCUUAAAGCUUUCCAAAUCAUUCAUUUAUAAGAUAUUUAUGGAAGAUAUUAAAAUAAACGGAGUGCAUAAAUUUCCUGAAAGUCAAAAUGAAUGGGAAAGCUUACGCAGAGAUGGCGACGGCCUCAGGCAGAAAUUAGAUUAUUGAGCGUUGCAGGGUUUUAGGUUAAAGAGGAAGAAAGAGUUUAAACAUGAAGAAUUCAAGUGUGAAGUUUGGGCCUUAGAUCUGCACCGAAUCCCAUCUUCUUCAAUGACCCAUGAAAUUAGAGGCGUCUAUGGGCUGACCUCGGUUUCUAACUUUUAAAUAUCUUUCUUUAGUACGAGUCUGUUGGUGGUUGGUGUUACGCUAUUAAUUUCAUUUUUUUUACUUUUUUUUCAAGGCUUAAGAAUAAAAAAAAUUAGUAAAAACUAAAAAGUAAUUGUCCUAUAAAAAAAAAUACUAAUUUGAGUCUUAAUUGACCUUAAAAGAAAUCAAUUAAUCCCUUAGUUAAUAGAAACUGUCAGUUAAACUUUUAAUCUCGUUGAUGUAAAUUUUUUAAAAAUAAUUUUACAAAAAAUUAAAAAAUAAUUAAAAUAUACAUGUAGAAUGAAUUUGAAUAAAUUAUUGUCUAGAUUCAUUUGAUUCUCAUGUAAAACUAAAAAAACUUAAAAAAUUAUUUUAAAAAAUUCUAAAAUAUAUAAUAAUUUAGAAUCAGUUAUUAAAAUUACUUAUUUUAUUUUGACAAUGAAGCUUAUUAUAAAACUUAGGCACCACCUUGAUCAAAACCUUACUGUUGGCGUCUUUAAUGUACUCGAAAGGGCGAGCACCGAAGUUGAUGGGGGAAAGUUUAGGGCUAGACUAAGAGUUCAAAGCUGCAAGAGAUGAAGCUAACAAAACAUUGCAUGCAAAGCGAUCGAGAGGGGGGAACAAAGUAAGUUUGGCCAGGCAUGAGACAACUCGUCCAUGGAUAUAGUUGGGAUAAGGUGACCAUGGAGAAAGAGUCUGCAUGGCAAACCAUCAUGUCGACGAACUCAAACAUGACCUCGCCAGCAAUAUGUUUUUCGUUUAGGGUUUCUUGUAUUUCCUUCCCUGAAGAAAAAGACAUCAGGUUUUGAAUUGGUUGGAAACAUGGAGCUACUGAACUGCCCAUUAAUUUAUAUAUAGAUAUAGAUAUACAGAUGAGGAAAUGUGGGAAAAAAAUGAUAUAAAAUAAAGAGAGAGAGAGAAGGUUAGAGAUUGAUCAUUGUAGAUAUACUAAAAAAGAAAGCAGACAAGAGGAAGGGUUUUGUAGUUUAUGUCAGAAAAGAAAGGUGAAGAAUUGACUUGGAGAAAGUCCUCUCCGAGUCCAUUUUUAUUUUGUUGCAGUUAGAACUCAUCUUGGCCGGACAACCGUCGAAGCUUGACAUGUGAUACGGUUUUGAUAAAAAUAUAAAUCCAAAAAUUGAGCUUUGGACAAAAAGUAAAAAAAUAUAUGUGUCGAAAUCGUUUUUUUUAAAACAAAAAUUUUAGUUUCGACUUAAAAAUAAAAAUUGGAGUCAUCACCGAUCAAACCCGAUUUACCUUUGUAUUUUAGAAAUUUCUCUGUGUUUUUUGCUUCUAUUUUCGUAUUUUUACAACCGAAAAUUUUCUUCCCUUCAAUGCAAAAGAUCGGCUGUUUUAUAGCCCAAAAAAUAACCUAUUUCCUUGUUUUUUUGUUGUUUUACAUUGUUUGGACUCUUUAAAAUCCGUCUUUCAGGUGAUCGUGGGAGCACACGCGGGGAAGGCGCGCAAGGGGCGGCGACGAACGUGGCUGCUGUUGAAGGCGGCGGCUAGUGGUUUUCUUCUGCUUAGGGUGUAUGUUAUUUUUUGUUUUUUGGGCUAGGUUUAGUUUGGGCUUAGGUUUAGUUUAUUGGGUUUGUUUAUUUGCUUGGGCCCGGGCAUUAUUGAACUUGUACAAUAUGUUUAACAGGUCAAAGCCUUGGAUAAAAAUUUUUAGUUUGGGCUUGGUCAAAAUUUGCUUUAAGUUUUUUUUUGGUUGUUGUUUUACUGUCAUUUGUUUUGUUGUUAUUUUAUUGUCAUUUUAUUAUUAUAUUAUUAUUAUUUUAGAGAAAUUUGCUUGUUAAAUUCCAACUAUCUCACUAUUUUAAUGUUUUUAAUUUAAUUUUGUUUUUAUAUAAAAAAUUUUUAUACAAGUAGGAUAGGUCAAACUCGGAUUUAGCAUUUUUAAAUGGGCUUAAGCCUAAAACACGGUUAAAAAUUUUAUAUUGUCCAUAAAUAUUUAAUAAAAAUAUUUACGGGCUCGGUUUAUAGAAAUGAGGUCCCGAAACCUCAUUUUUUAAAACCACUUGUCUUUAGAGAUAAACCACUUGGACUUAACUAAUCAUUCAAAUAAUAAAAAUUAUCAAGUAAAAAUUUAUUAUAAUUAUAUAUCUAACUCGUAAAUAUUAAAUAAUAAUAUUAUGAACUCACUUGUUAGAUUUGUGAUCUCGAAACCACUUGAAAACGAGCUGUUACAAUAUAUAGAUACUGCUAUCAUACGUGGUUCCAACCCAUGCUUUGUGUUGGGUUUUUUUUAGUUAAAUCUAUGGAGUAAAAAAAAUUAAAGGUUAUAAUAUGUUUCAAGUUUCUAAACUUUUUGUAUAUUUGGAAUAUAGUCCCCAUACUUUUACUUCUAGGAAUUUAGUCCUUUUGCUUUUCAAAUUUAAAAUUCAAGUUCAAUUGUUAACAUCGUUAAAGUUUGGCAGUUACAUUAGUUAGUGUGAGAUUCUGAAACUAAAAAAAAAAAAAUCUCUUGGUAGACAUAUAAAUGGCAAAAAUGAUAUUUUAAUGGACUCGAAUUUAACAAAUCUUAAUAUCACAUUAGCAUUUUAAUUAGAAUAAAGUACUUAGAUUUACUAAUGAUAUUAUAAAAAUUGAGAUAUCAAAUUAUAUUAAAAUCUCAAAUUUAAGCAUAAUAUAGGAACUAAAUUAAAAUUUGGUCAUGAUCUAUAAUCUUAAAAAAAGAAGAGGGAUCAAAAUUAAAUUUUUUCUAUUAUCCUAUAAUGUAAAAAGGGUGGAUAUAUGUCCCAUAGAAAGGCCUUAAGGUAGGUAAAGUACCAUGGAGACCGUAUACUAGAAAUUGGAUUACGUUUUGUCUUCUUUACACAAAAAAUGGAAAAAAAUUAACUUUGUAUGUUAUAUCAAAGAGCAAUUUGAUUCUUUCGUUAAAAAUUCCAUCUAUUUUUACCAUUAAGUAAUUAUAUGAAUGAUGGAGCAAGUAGGCAGUGACACAUGACGUGUCACAUGUACAUCAACAAAUAUUUAAGAAAAUAAAAAAUCCUAAUAAAUAAAAAGAAUUAAUAAUUAUUUAAAAACCACAUCCAAAAUAACAUGGACAAAGCCUAGAGAGCCAUUUAUCCAAGGAUGUGCUUUUUCAAAUAAUUAUAAAAUAUUAAAAAAAUUAUUAAGAAUUAUAAAAUUAAAUAACUCAAACCAAACCAUAAAUUUGUAACUUUCCUUUUGUGAAUGAAGAGUAAUUAUAUUUCGUGUCAUUGACCAUAUUCCCUUUUAUCCAAAUCUGUAACAUUUGUUCUCAUAUUGAUCCACUUAACAAUACACAAUAUGCGAGGCAAACAAUUCCUUCCAUUAAAUUUUACUUGAUUUUUCCACUUAUUGUUAUUUUAAUUUUUAAUAUUUAUAGUACUUCAUCAUAACAAUUAUUAAACCUUUAAAUAAGUUGUAAUUGAUGAUGAUAAUUAAUUUCCCAAUAUUUAUUGUAAUUUUAAAUGUUUUUAUUAAAUUUUAAUAUUUUUUUAUAAUUAUUUAAAAGCUUCCAUUGAAGCUAAAUUUUCCAUGAUGAUGAACCUAGACAACUUUUUUUUCAAAUGUUUAUUAAACUUUAUUUAACUUUUAGGUUCUCAUUUAUUUUUAAAAUAUUUAAUGACCUGAUAAAAUGCUAGUAAGGAUUAAUUUAUUCAUAUUUUCAAUUAGGAGGUUAAACACAAUCAAAUUCUUAAUAUUUCGAGCGUAGUUUCAGUAUGUAGCAGCCAUUGAUUACAUUUUGCAAUAAAUUAUUUAAAAUGAAACAAGUUUCAGCACUGCUGUGAGGGCAGCGAUCAUGACAGUAUCUUUUACGUCUACCACACCACCAUAAAAAUACAAUCCGAUAUAAAACGUCUUUGCAAGACCAAUUACUAUAAUAUUUUUUUAAACAUUUUUUAAUGUUUAUUUUAUAAUCCAAAAAAUAUAUUUUCUUUUCUCUGUAUUUGAAGCUUACAGUUACCCUUCAAAUAAUAUCGUUGUUCUAUCUUUAAAGUUUAAUGUAUUUUACAUGACAAUCUAACACUUAUUACAAUAAUAUACAUCUGCCUAUGAUAUACUAAAACAAAAAGAAAUAUACUUUUAAAAAAGUUAUUUAAUAAUUGAUAAUAGAUUAAUAUUUAUAAAUGUUUUUAACCUGUAAACAAUUUAUAGAGAAGUAUUUUGUUUUCAAUUAAUGCAUAUAUAUUACCCUUAAUUAUGUAAAAGGUAAUUGCAAACGAUGUUCAUAUGCCCUUUUACCUUGGUGUAUUUAAAGACUGAUAUGAUAGAUUAAAGAAAAAAACUUGCAUGACUUAAAUAACAAAUGCUACAACUGGAGUUCAUUAGCUUAUGCACCAAGAUUUACAAUAAUUAUGCACCACCAGGUCUCUGGUAGUAGGAAAACCGAUCAGAAACGCCCCAGGCGGAGGUCCAUCUUGAUCUGCCGCGAAAUGCAUGAGAACUGACUUGGAACCAGGAGAAACCCUAAUGACUGUGGCUAUCAACUCGUUUUGGAGUGCUCUUUGUGAAGGACUGUAAUCUAAGAUUACUUACAUCAGAUGGAGCUUUCACAGUUAGUUCAUAGAAGAAACCUCUCUCCGUUGAGGGCCCAAUCCGGCUCAAAGUAACUACAUUCCCAAAUUCUCAACCUUGUUGUGAAGAAUGAACAAAGAACCAUCUGUCUCCUCUCGAAGAAUAAGGAACUUCUCAGAAACUCCUAAGGUAAUGGGUGCUAGACGAUCAUAAAGGAAACGUGUUGCAGAAUACUUGUGUACAUUGCCAAAGUGUGCACUUAACUCCUCUGAUGAACCCUCAAAGUUGCAAUCAGGAAGGGGGCAUGAACAUGGCGCGAAAAGGCAUGCCUUUCCAUGUUUCUGCUUCAUGCUAUAACUGAAUGCUUCUUUGCACCCGUACUUUGUGUUUUGGCAUGUCACUUUGACAGAUUCCAACACCUUCUCAAUCGCCCUGCAGCGACUAUAGCCGAUUGGAGUCAUACAGGAUGGACAUCUAUUCCUCAUUUUGAUGCAAAAGUAGAGCAAGCUAUAUGCCCAUUCUCACACUGAAUUGCCAAUCACAGACAUACAGAUUGAUCAGGAUGCAUUUAAUAUAUGAAGAAUGAAUAAUAUCAUUACAAAAAUAUGGGACUUAUUUGAUAUUUCAAUUCUAUUAAUUUCAUGUGUGCUGUCAAUGAUAUCCUUUGAUCAGACAAUGCCAAAUCCACACACCAAAACAACCUCAAGUUCAAAGGAUAAAAGAAGUACAAAUUUUUCAUACUAAACACGACAGAUCUUUUGUUGGACAUCAAAGAUUGGCCAUUCAAGGGAUCCCACAAGAAGCUAAGUAUUAUGCAUUAUAAAAGUCGUGGUUUUUUUAUUUAUAUUCACAAAUUCCAGAGUGAACUGGUACAUGGCGACAAGUAAAAGAGGUCUUGAAGUUUAUACGUACAUGUCCAAGUAUGAACAGCACAUUAAAACUCACAAAUAGCUUCCCCAUCUAUGUUACUAGGACUCGUGUGAGUGUCAAAUACAAGUAUCUGUUCAAUUUCUUAGUUUUUCCAUAUGUAUGGAGAGUCCUCAGAGGGUCAUAUCCCCAUACCUAUAUCCAAAAACGUGGGUGCUUCAAUAAACCUAAAGAGUCAAAACAACAUAGUUCCCCAUCACCUUAAGAGGAUAGAAUCUCNNNNNNNNNNNNNNNNNNNNNNNNNNNNNNNNNNNNNNNNNNNNNNNNNNNNNNNNNNNNNNNNNNNNNNNNNNNNNNNNNNNNNNNNNNNNNNNNNNNNNNNNNNNNNNNNNNNNNNNNNNNNNNNNNNNNNNNNNNNNNNNNNNNNNNNNNNNNNNNNNNNNNNNNNNNNNNNNNNNNNNNNNNNNNNNNNNNNNNNNNNNNNNNNNNNNNNNNNNNNNNNNNNNNNNNNNNNNNNNNNNNNNNNNNNNNNNNNNNNNNNNNNNNNNNNNNNNNNNNNNNNNNNNNNNNNNNNNNNNNNNNNNNNNNNNNNNNNNNNNNNNNNNNNNNNNNNNNNNNNNNNNNNNNNNNNNNNNNNNNNNNNNNNNNNNNNNNNNNNNNNNNNNNNNNNNNNNNNNNNNNNNNNNNNNNNNNNNNNNNNNNNNNNNNNNNNNNNNNNNNNNNNNNNNNNNNNNNNNNNNNNNNNNNNNNNNNNNNNNNNNNNNNNNNNNNNNNNNNNNUUCCUAAAACACCCUCCUUUACCUCCUUAUUUAUUCCUUCCCUACUUCUAAACGGACAACUACCUGUCAUGGGCAAUCCCGUCCUUGACGACAUACAUCUCAGACACGCACGUUGAAAAAUCUUCUAAUUUCCCAAAAUACCCUAGCAUGAAACAUAAACAUAAAGGGUAAAAUGGUAUGGACACUAAAGAUCGUUAAGUGAUGAUAACAAAGGUGGCUGAGAGUAUAGAGAAUAAAAAAAGGAGACUAUGCUGUUUCGAAGACGUUAUCGGAUUUUAAACUCCACUCUUCGCCGUAAUUUAGGGCUCUAUUUCAAGUACGGCGCUAGGUUUUCAAAUUCUCGAGCAUAGAGAAACAAACCAGAAACAGAGGAUAAGAUUAGGGCUCUAUUUUCUCCAGAAAAAAAAAUGUUACGUGGAAUUGGGUACUGGGUAUGUAGUUGAAAUUUAAGAUCAUUUGAAGGGAAAUUGAGGAAUUCGACAAAUGUUUACGCCGCAGAGGAAGGUUUGGUCGGGUUGGUCGUUUGCACCUGGGAAGAAAGCAGACGGGUCGGUUCGGAUCCGAACUCCAAUGGGGUUUUCUGUUGGGAAAGGGAAAGGAGCGGCUUUUGCUGAGCCCUUGACUCCUAAUUGUAAAGACGUCGGGUCAGAGGACCAGGAGGAAGAGUUGCGCGAGAAAGCGCUAAGACUCGAAAAUGAGGUUAUCUGCUACAAUAUAUUUCUUAAGUUGCCAUUUUAGGAGCUUUAAAUUCGUUAUAUAUAUUUUUAGUAUGCUUUUUUCGGUACUUUUGUCCAAUUGUUAUAGAUAAAUAUUUUUUUGAUAGGUUUAGGUGAGGAAUUGAUAUGAUUAAAAAAGUUGCCUUUAAAUUAGUGUUUUAAGUUAAUGAGUGAGUGAGGUGUUAGAUGAAAGUAAACCCUUGAUAUGGUUUCUUAAUUUUGUUAGAUUAAACUAAAAUCCAUUUUACUGAAAGAAAAAUUUUCCUGUUGUUUUUCGCAUAAUUUUUUUACUAUGUCAAAGUUAAAGCUAUUUACCCAAUUGCACAGUUCGUUUUCGUUAUUAGUUUUUGACCUUUCUUUAGGUAACACAUUCGUUAUUCAACUAUAGUUCAGACAAAGAUAACUUAUUUCACCUUUAUUGGUGCAUAGCAUCUUGCUAUUCAAUUUUCUCAUAUGAAGCUCAGAGCUUCUGUCAGAGGAGUUUCCAAGUGUCAAACACAUUUCUGACAUGGAAAAAUACAUGUCAGACAUGCAGCACAUAAAAAUAGAUAAAAUAAAAUCGAACAUGGUCGAGGCACUGAAAAAAAAUGGAAAUCUAAUUUUUGAGAAAAAUUAUUUAAUUGAAAUGUUUUUAAUAUUUUAUUGAUAAAUUUAUAUAAAAGAAUAAUUUUAUUGCUGUGCCUGACCAUGCUUGUGUGUCGUUCGUAAUUUUUAGAAAUUCCCAUCUCGCUAAGUCCAUGUCAUGUCAUACCUGUAUUAUGAGUGCCCAUGCUUCCUAGCUUUUCUCAUUUAUGUCUAACUGAAAAUUGGGCCCAAAUUUGUCACCUUUUUGUCAAGCAUCAUGUUGACAGGUAUGAACUGCUGAAGGCUUACUGGGAAAGUUGAAUGUUUUAGGAUUGCUGACUGGGCUGUGCUUAUAUCUAGGAUGGCUUUCUUGAGCAUUCUUCAUCUUUAUCAAAUUAAAAGUUUGAAAUUUAACAUGGUUUUAGCUUUAUAAUGUGAUAAACUUUUGCUGAUGUACUCUAAAGCUAUCUACUCAAUUUGGUUGUCUAUCCUAUUCAUGUAGAAUGGUUUGUUCAAUGUCCCACUGUCUCAUCUGAAUGAUCCGUAUUCUUUCUGUUUCUUUCCAGCUUUUUGAAUACCAAUACAAUUUGGGGCUUCUCUUGAUUGAGAAAAAGGAAUGGACAUCAAGUAUGAAGAACUCAAUGAGGCAUUGAUAGAAGCAAAGGAUGCUCUCAAACAAGAACAAGAGCACAUUUAAUUGCAAUAAAUGAUGUUGAGAAGCGGGAAGAGAUUCCACGCAAGGCCCUUGGUGUUGAGAAGCAGUGUGUGCUUGAUGUAUGGAUCUUAUGUCCUGCUUUAAUUUUUCCCCUAAAAAGUUGAAAGAUAUCGAUAUAAUUUCCUUGCAUUGGUUUGGUUUUAUCCAUGUAAAAUUUGGCUUUUCCUUUGUAUUUUUCUUAUCACCAAGUUGAGGAAAGAUUAUUUUGGGGUACUUUCUUCUGCAAAUUUCUAAGAUAAUUUUGAAUAAAUUAAAAUGUACUUCUGUAAUUUGAUACCUUGGAAAUUAAAGCUUUCUUACUCUCCAUAAUUCUUUUGAUAUUAUAUGAGGUAAUAUUCAAAUUUGGAUAAUGUUCUUUGUUUUCUACAGCUAGAGAAAGCUUUACGAGAUACGCUCAGAAAAUGCAGAAAUCAAAUUUACUGCAGAUGCAAAGCUUUCUGAAGCAAAUGCUGUGAUUGCUAGUGUUGAAGAGAAAUCUUUGGAGGUGGAGGCAAAAUUGCGUGCAGAUGAUGCAAAGCUUGCCGAGAUUAGUAGAAAGAAUUCAGAGAUUGAAAGGAAGUUACAAGAGUUAGAGUCUCGUGAAAAUGAACUUCGAAGGGAGCGACAGUCUUUUAUUUCAGAGUAUGCUUCAACCUACCUUUCAUUUAUCUGCUAGUGGGCUAGUGGGACUUUUCUGUGUUUAGUUCUCAUCCAUGCUACUCAGACUAGGGUAUGAGUGUUAAAUAUGGGUAUGCUUAACUUUUAAAAGUGUUUCCAUGUAUUUUGGAGGGUCCCUGGUGGGUCAUAUCCCAAUACCCAUGUCCAAAUGUGUUGGUGAUGGGUGUUGGAACACAAGCAUGUCAAAAAUGAAGUGACAUAGCAACAUAGGUUUUGGUUUUUGUUUGUUUGUUUGAUAGUUGGUGGGUGGCGGUUCCUUUUUUUUUGUUUUUUUUUUCUUUUGUGUGUGUGUGUGUGUUAACUUUCUCAAUGAAUAUAUACUGUAGAAUUCGUUGUUUAUUUGUUAAUCCAAGAGUUAUAAUUCUUUUUACAUUUAAAGUUCAUUGAUAUUUUUUUUCCUUUCUUUCAGGCGAGAAGCACAUGAGACUACUUUGUCCAAACAAAGGGAGACCUGCGAGAAUGGGAAAAGAAAUUGCAAGAUGCGGAGGAGAGGCUGGCUAAAGGCCAAACAUAUGUCUACCAAAGGGAGGAGAGAGCAAAUGAGAAUGAUAGUCUUCAAACAAAAAGAGCAACACCUUGAAGAGACACAAAAGAUGAUUGAUGCAGCCCACAAAACUUUGAAGGAGAAAGAAGAUGAUAUAAACAACAGGCUAACAAAAUUAACUUUGAAAGAAAAGGUAGCCUAACUUUCAUGUUGAGCAGUUGCGUUUAUAUGAAAUAAUAGUAUUUUACUUUGUUGCUCCAACUCUUCAUUUUGUUGAAGCACCUAUGUCCAACGCAUGAUAUAGCAUUUGACCUCCUAGUAUCCUCCAAAAUACGCGGAAAAACUUAGAAAUCAACCAUAUCUGUGUCGGACACAUACCAUAUCUGAUACUCACAUCCGUGUUGAGUGCAUAGUAUUAUUUACCAUUUCAUCUGGAUGCAGGAAUGGAGUGUUGUGAGAGAGAAGUUGGAGAUGAAAGAGAAGGAGUUGCUCAUUAUUGAAGAAAAGUUAAACGCCAGAGAGAAGGUAAGGUUUUGCCAGUGUUUCUGAGACACAUUCAUUCAUCUGGAAUUCUUUUUAUGUAAAAUGUUGGUAGAUCUAUUUUUUAAUUUAUGUUCACAAAGGUUCCUUGUUUUUCAUUUAUUUGAUAUUUUUCUCAAAGAGCUCUAUUAUUUCUCUUGGAGGGACAGAUAUUAUAUUAGAAGGCAUCAUUUAGGUCAUUUGUUUGAUAUUUUUUUUUUUUGGCAGACGGAGAUUCAGAAGCUCCUGGAUGAACAUAAUGCCAUUCUGGAUGAGACAAAGCGUGCAUUUGAGUUGGAAAUUGAUGGAAAGAGAAAAUCCUUAGACCUUGAACUAAAACAAGGUGAUUGAUGUGGAGAAGAAGGAAGUUGAAGUCAAGCACAUGGAAGAGAAGAUUUCUAAAAGAGAGCAGGCAUUAGAUAAGAAAUUGGAAAAGUUCGAAGCAAAAGAGAAGGAAUUUGAAUUAAAAGUGAAAAGCCUCAAGGAAAGGGAGCAGGUCAUCAGAUCUGAGGAAAAGAAUUUAGAGAUCAAGAAGAAGCAUAUGGAUGCUGACAAAGAAGAACUUUUGACCCUUAAGGCUGAAACUGAGAAGCUAAGAUUGCAAACGAAGAACAAUUAUCAAAGAUGCAUGAGGAGAAAGAUAGGCUCAGAUUUAGCGAAGAAGAGAGGUCUGAGUAUGUUCGCUUGCAAUUGAACUAAAGGAAGAAAUAGAGAAAUGCAGACUUCAAGAAGAAUUGCUUUUAAAGGAAGUGAGGACUUGAAAAGGCAGAAAGAGAAAUUUGAAGAGAAUGGGAAGAGUUAGAUGGGAAAAAGUUAGAAAUUGAGAAAGAGUUGAAGAAUUCAACCUACAGAAGGAGAAAUUUGAAAAAGAAAAACUUGCUGAGGAUGAAAGGUUAAAGAAUGAGAAGCAAGUCGCUGAGGAUUGUAUAAAAAGAGAGUUGGAAGCUCUUGAAGUUGCUAAAGAAACAUUUGCUGCCACCAUGGAACAUGAGCGGUCAGUGGUAGCUGAGAAAGCUGAAAGUGAGAGAAGCCAAAGGCUUCAUGACCUUGAGUUGUUGAAAAGUAAACUUGAGAGUGAUAUGCAGGAUAAAUUUGAGGAGAUGGUGAAGGAAUUAGGAGAGAGAAAAAAGUCCUUUGAGGAGAAAAAGAGAGAGAAUGGACAAUAUUAAUUAUUUAAGAGAGGUAGCUAGGAGAGAGAUGGAAGAGUGAAACAAGAAAGACUUAAGAUAGAAAAAGAAAGGCAAGAAGUUAAUGCUAGCAAGAGUCAUCUUGAAGGACA
rnacentral:lncRNA from 1 species